CUUAGAAAAUGGAAGUGCCUGAGGACCCUGAGCAGUCAGGAGUAAACCUUUAAUCCUGGGAGAAACGCGGGCUGGGUUCAGUCACGGGGCAGAGCAGAAGGGCUGCUCAGGACCAGGCACCUCAAACCAAAGCACUUGGGGCACAGAGGGCCAUGGCCAAGCACCCCAGUGAGCUCAGAACCUGUUAGAAGUGAGCUGAACCAAGUAUCACUGAAUGCAUCCUGCACCAAGCAUGAAUAACAGCCUGACCAUCAGAGCACACAGAAACACAAACUGAGAACCCAACUGUUUCCUAUGAGGGAAGCUGCAGAUUUUUUGAUUAUGCACAAAUAUUUCCUAGUGUGAUUCAUCCACCCUUGAUAUUGGAUUAAGACCACAAUAUGAUAAAAAUAAUAUUAUUAACACA